rnacentral:tRNA from 1 species
GCAGUCGUGGCCGAGUGGUUAAGGCGUCUGACUUGAAAUCAGAUUCCCUCUGGGAGGGUAGGUUCGAGUCCUGCCGACUGCG